rnacentral:lncRNA from 1 species
CCAAAUCGCAUGGCCAUGCAACCAUUUCACCAAGUGCGUCUCCAAGUGUUUGACAAUAACCAUAAGGUCGAAUUAAUCGCUCUUCAGAUUCAACUACUACUUUAACUUGCACUUGACACCGAUUCUCUCCCAAUACUUGUCUCCCAACUUUUGCAUUGGGCUAGUGCUAUGUACACAUCCUUUAGCCACAAUUUUUCCUUGUUGAGAUACACUUUUAAGAUCAACAUGAACUCCAAUCUACAAAUAUUUUGCAAAAUGUUAAUAUGAUAUAUGGAAAUAUAAAAACUAAGGACAUAUAACAAUUUCCUUUCCCUGUAGAAAAUAAGCAAAACGAGAAAUCCUUGGGGCAAGUCUAAGCGCAGAAAUUUAGACAUAGAGUUUUGCUUUUAAUUGUGUGUUCUGUCUACAUUUACAAUGCAUAGUUUCUAAUGAGUAAUGAAUAAUAAAAAUUGACGAAGCCUUUAAGAGCAAAAAGACCACCAAAGUCUUCCUUAACACAAAAAAGUUGAAUCAGUUAUCAAAUGCUCUUAAUGUUAAGCCCGAGAUUAUAUGACAUGUCAGGGAAAAACUGAGUUAUUUCUUUGUCUUUGCUAUAUAAGUAAAAAAAUACUAAGCAGCUAUAUAAAAAAAAAAAAUUACUAAGCAGGCUCUCGAAAUUGGAUGUAUGCAAUCCACUAUAGUGGAUUCAUCCAACUUACCAAGAAAGCGAAAAAUACUAAGAAUAAAUAGACAUAGAGGCUCAAGUAAUUCAGGCCUUUCUUAAGAAGAUCAAUAACCAAUAGCUGGAAACAAAAAUGCAGGUCUCUACCCAUGAUAAAAGCUCCAGUUAACAGGGAACAAUAAAAGCUCAAAAUUGUUAUUCCCACUCCCCACACUAAACUUGACAAGAUUAAUUGUACUAAUAUUUCAAAAAGAAUUAUUACUAAUUUAUUUAAACACACAUCACAUAUUAAAGUAAAGAACACAUCACAUAUUAAAAUAGAGGUACAUACUAAAGUAGAGGUAAAUGAAAAAGGAUAAGUACCUGAAGAUGUUGGUUUGGUGAAAUCAUUCUU